rnacentral:rRNA from 1 species
AGUUUGAUCAUGGCUCAGAUUGAACGCUGGCGGCAUGCCUUACACAUGCAAGUCGAACGGUAACAGGUCUUCGGAUGCUGACGAGUGGCGAACGGGUGAGUAAUACAUCGGAACGUGCCCGAUCGUGGGGGAUAACGAGGCGAAAGCUUUGCUAAUACCGCAUACGAUCUACGGAUGAAAGCGGGGGAUCUUCGGACCUCGCGCGGACGGAGCGGCCGAUGGCAGAUUAGGUAGUUGGUGGGAUAAAAGCUUACCAAGCCGACGAUCUGUAGCUGGUCUGAGAGGAUGAUCAGCCACACUGGGACUGAGACACGGCCCAGACUCCUACGGGAGGCAGCAGUGGGGAAUUUUGGACAAUGGGCGAAAGCCUGAUCCAGCCAUGCCGCGUGCAGGAUGAAGGCCUUCGGGUUGUAAACUGCUUUUGUACGGAACGAAAAGCCUCUUUCUAAUAAAGAGGGGUCAUGACGGUACCGUAAGAAUAAGCACCGGCUAACUACGUGCCAGCAGCCGCGGUAAUACGUAGGGUGCAAGCGUUAAUCGGAAUUACUGGGCGUAAAGCGUGCGCAGGCGGUUUUGUAAGACAGAGGUGAAAUCCCCGGGCUCAACCUGGGAACUGCCUUUGUGACUGCAAGGCUGGAGUGCGGCAGAGGGGGAUGGAAUUCCGCGUGUAGCAGUGAAAUGCGUAGAUAUGCGGAGGAACACCGAUGGCGAAGGCAAUCCCCUGGGCCUGCACUGACGCUCAUGCACGAAAGCGUGGGGAGCAAACAGGAUUAGAUACCCCGGU